UGUUUUUUAGGCUCGGGCUCGAGCUUGAGCUCCUUUAAGCUCGGCUCGUUCGAGCUUUUUUUUCGAGCCGACCUCGAGUAGCUCGCGAGUAGCUCGGCUCGUUUGCACCCCUAGUCACAAUAGAAUGGUUUAAGAGCUAUAAAAAAACAAGUUGCGACCAAAGACUUCAGCCUUAAAGUUAACUAUGGUGGUAUGAUUCACAAGGCGUUUGAUGGCCCAGAAUGAAAUCGUGGAAAACGUCACAAGCCUCCGAAGGCCUCUGACAGAGCACAAGUUGAGUCUAAAGAAGUUAGGCUUCUUGAUUCAGGGCUAAUCCCACUUGAUGGUCAGGAUGUUCAAAUUGCCCAAAAGAUGUAAAAGAUAUUUUAACAACUUUGAAAGAUAGUGUAGAGGACAUCAGUGGCGUCCCAACAUUGUAAAGAACCAGAUCAAAUUUAGCCUUCUUGUCUCUCUUAUAAUUAUAAUAUCUUUGAUAUCAGAUGCUCUUAGUGCAUCACCAGACGAAAUGUCUAUCUUGUCACGUGAUGCUUCAUUCAGGCGUGAUUUCCAUGAAACUGUGAUGGCUAUUGGAAACGAUCAGAUAAUUGAGGGGUGUAUGCAUUGUGUUAGACUUGCAUGGGCCGUGCAUUUGAUGAUUUUACAAGAUGUAACUGAUGCAAGUGAGAUAAAUAACGAUGUGAGAAAUAUAAAUUCAUGCCUCGAAGUUGUUUUCUCAAAUAACGUUUUCCAGUUUCUGAUUGAUAAAGCUCUUCGAACGCCAGCCUACCAGAAUGAUGAUGAAGAUAUGAUCUACCUUUGCUCCAUAUUACGCUCCUCAAGCUGAAGUAUGUGCUAACUACACUUUUCAUCUUAUUAUUUAUUUUCUUCCUUUAAAAUGAGAAUUGUGUUUAUAGUGUCCUUAUUCUAUUAUAUUCAUUUGUUAUAUUUGUGCUUAUUUCAUUUCAUAAAAUUGAGUCAAGUAUUUCCUUAUACAAAUAUUUGAGGAGUUUGAUCCUGUACCUAUUGCAAGUGCUUCCCUUGCUUAGGUUCAUGUUGCUCGAACUCAUCAGGGUCAAAAAGUUGCUGUGAAGGUUUCAAAUUGUUUCUAUCAUUCCAUCUUAGUUUACAUUGGCGCUCAGUGGGGUGUAGUUCUCGCGGUUCUUACAACUCGCGGUGGUUUUCAUUCUAGCAGCCCCCCAUAUAUAUAUAUCCCAGGUGCAACAUAUGCACAUGACAGAUACUACAGAUGCAGAUUAUGCGACAGUGGAAUUGAUUGUCAACACGACAGUCUACCUAAGAAUGAAAAUGGGCUGCAAAUGAGCGAUAAGUCAAAUAUUGAGAGUGUACUUGGAAUAAGCUCUGUUCGUUUGCAUGGGUGGGGGCGUGAUCCGGUUAGUUCUAGUAGCACAAUGGGUGCUACUAAAAAUCAAAGUGUCUUGCUUACGAAGAUUUGGUGGAUGCUUACGAUGAGCUGGUGGAAGAACUUGGAACCAUGAAAGGUAAAUGCGCAAUUAUGGAACAAGCAUUGAUUGAGAAUAAUAUCAUGCCUCGUCCAUCAAGCAUACUAGAACAAUCUCAAUGUGAUACAUUAGAGGAUGUUGAAAACAUUGAUGAGUGAAGGCGAUUUAGUAGAUUCUAUAACUCGUUACUAACAUAUAAACACUUUUAGUUGUGUUUGUUUUAGUAUUUAAAUUUCUAUAACUAGUACUUUUAUUUGGUUGUUUGUAAGAUUGAUGUUUAUUAGUUUAA